CCGGUAAACGGCGGCCGUAACUAUAACGGUCCUAAGGUAGCGAAAUUCCUUGUCGGGUAAGUUCCGACCUGCACGAAUGGCGUAAUGAUGGCCAGGCUGUCUCCACCCGAGACUCAGUGAAAUUGAACUCGCUGUGAAGAUGCAGUGUACCCGCGGCAAGACGGAAAGACCCCGUGAACCUUUACUAUAGCUUGACACUGAACAUUGAGCCUUGAUGUGUAGGAUAGGUGGGAGGCUUUGAAGUGUGGACGCCAGUCUGCAUGGAGCCGACCUUGAAAUACCACCCUUUAAUGUUUGAUGUUCUAACGUUGGCCCGUUAUCCGGGUUGCGGACAGUGUCUGGUGGGUAGUUUGACUGGGGCGGUCUCCUCCUAAAGAGUAACGGAGGAGCACGAAGGUUGGCUAAUCCUGGUCGGACAUCAGGAGGUUAGUGCAAUGGCAUAAGCCAGCUUGACUGCGAGCGUGACGGCGCGAGCAGGUGCGAAAGCAGGUCAUAGUGAUCCGGUGGUUCUGAAUGGAAGGGCCAUCGCUCAACGGAUAAAAGGUACUCCGGGGAUAACAGGCUGAUACCGCCCAAGAGUUCAUAUCGACGGCGGUGUUUGGCACCUCGAUGUCGGCUCAUCACAUCCUGGGGCUGAAGUAGGUCCCAAGGGUAUGGCUGUUCGCCAUUUAAAGUGGUACGCGAGCUGGGUUUAGAACGUCGUGAGACAGUUCGGUCCCUAUCUGCCGUGGGCGCUGGAGAACUGAGGGGGGCUGCUCCUAGUACGAGAGGACCGGAGUGGACGCAUCACUGGUGUUCGGGUUGUCAUGCCAAUGGCACUGCCCGGUAGCUAAAUGCGGAAGAGAUAAGUGCUGAAAGCAUCUAAGCACGAAACUUGCCCCGAGAUGAGUUCUCCCUGACUCCUUGAGAGUCCUGAAGGAACGUUGAAGACGACGACGUUGAUAGGCCGGGUGUGUAAGCGCAGCGAUGCGUUGAGCUAACCGGUACUAAUGAACCGUGAGG
rnacentral:rRNA from 1 species